rnacentral:rRNA from 1 species
GACGAACGCUGGCGGCGUGCCUAAUACAUGCAAGUUGAGCGCUGAAGGUUGGUACUUGUACCAACUGGAUGAGCAGCGAACGGGUGAGUAACGCGUGGGGAAUCUGCCUUUGAGCGGGGGACAACAUUUGGAAACGAAUGCUAAUACCGCAUAAAAACUUUAAACACAAGUUUUAAGUUUGAAAGAUGCAAUUGCAUCACUCAAAGAUGAUCCCGCGUUGUAUUAGCUAGUUGGUGAGGUAAAGGCUCACCAAGGCGAUGAUACAUAGCCGACCUGAGAGGGUGAUCGGCCACAUUGGGACUGAGACACGGCCCAAACUCCUACGGGAGGCAGCAGUAGGGAAUCUUCGGCAAUGGACGAAAGUCUGACCGAGCAACGCCGCGGGAGUGAAGAAGGUUGUCGGAUCGUAAAACUCUGUUGGUAGAGAAGAACGUUGGUGAGAGUGGAAAGCUCAGCAAGUGACGGUAACUACCCAGAAAGGGACGGCUAACUACGUG